AUCUCCGGGGGUAGAGCACUGUUUCGGCUAGGGGGCCAUCCCGGCUUACCAACCCGAUGCAAACUGCGAAUACCGGAGAAUGUUAUCACGGGAGACACACGGCGGGUGCUAACGUCCGUCGUGAAGAGGGAAACAACCCAGACCGCCAGCUAAGGUCCCAAAGUCAUGGUUAAGUGGGAAACGAUGUGGGAAGGCCCAGACAGCCAGGAUGUUGGCUUAGAAGCAGCCAUCAUUUAAAGAAAGCGUAAUAGCUCACUGGUCGAGUCGGCCUGCGCGGAAGAUGUAACGGGGCUAAACCAUGCACCGAAGCUGCGGCAGCGGCACGCAAGUGUUGUUGGGUAGGGGAGCGUUCUGUAAGCCG
rnacentral:rRNA from 1 species